rnacentral:rRNA from 1 species
UACGGGGGGGGCAAGCGUUGUUCGGAAUUACUGGGCGUAAAGCGUGCGCAGGCGGCUCCUUAAGUCAGAUGUGAAAUCCCCGGGCUUAACCUGGGAACUGCGUUUGAAACUGGGGGGCUUGAGUGUGGAAGAGGGGGGUGGAAUUCCAGGUGUAGCAGUGAAAUGCGUAGAGAUCUGGAGGAACACCGAUGGCGAAGGCAGCCCCCUGGGCUAACACUGACGCUCAUGCACGAAAGCGUGGGGAGCAAACAGG